rnacentral:rRNA from 1 species
GACGAACGCUGGCGGCGUGCUUAACACAUGCAAGUCGAACGGUGAAGGGGUCUGCUUUUGUGGGCCCUGGAUGAGUGGCGAACGGGUGAGUAACACGUGAGUAACCUGCCCCCUUCUUCUGGAUAACCGCAUGAAAGUGUGGCUAAUACGGGAUAUUCUGGGUCUGUCGCAUGAUGGGUCUGGGAAAGAUUGCGCCUUUGGGUGUUUUUGGUGGGGGAUGGGCUCGCGGCCUAUCCGCUUGUUGGUGGGGUGAUGGCCUACCAAGGCGGUGACGGGUAGCCGGGCUGAGAGGGUGGAAGGUCAGACUGGGAACGAGACACGGACCAGACUGCUACGGGAGGCAGCAGUGGGGAAGAUUGCACAAUGGGCGCAAGCCUGAUGCAGCGACGCCGCGUGAGGGAUGGAGGCCGUCGGGUUGUAAACCUCUUUCGCCAGUGAAGCAGGCCUGCUCCUUGUGGGUGGGUUGACGGUAGCUGGAUAAGAAGCGCCGGCUAACUACGUG